GAUGAACGCUGGCGGCGUGCCUAAUACAUGCAAGUCGAGCGAACGGACGAGAAGCUUGCUUUUCUGAUGUUAGCGGCGGACGGGUGAGUAACACGUGGAUAACCUACCUAUAAGACUGGGAUAACUUCGGGAAACCGGAGCUAAUACCGGAUAAUAUUUUGAACCGCAUGGUUCAAAAGUGAAAGACGGUCUUGCUGUCACUUAUAGAUGGAUCCGCGCUGCAUUAGCUAGUUGGUAAGGUAACGGCUUACCAAGGCAACGAUGCAUAGCCGACCUGAGAGGCUGAUCGGCCACACUGGAACUGAGACACGGUCCAGACUCCUACGGGAGGCAGCAGUAGGGAAUCUUCCGCAAUGGGCGAAAGCCUGACGGAGCAACGCCGCGUGAGUGAUGAAGGUCUUCGGAUCGUAAAACUCUGUUAUUAGGGAAGAACAUAUGUGUAAGUAACUGUGCACAUCUUGACGGUACCUAAUCAGAAAGCCACGGCUAACUACGUG
rnacentral:rRNA from 1 species